rnacentral:rRNA from 1 species
UACAGAGACUGCAAGCGUUAUUCGGAUUCACUGGGCGUAAAGGGUGCGCAGGCGGCCAAGUGUGUGAGGCGUGAAAGCCCGGGGCUUAACCCCCGGAAUUGCACCUCAAACUACAUGGCUAGAGCAUUGGAGAGGGUAGCAGAAUUCACGGUGUAGCAGUGAAAUGCGUAGAUAUCGUGAGGAAUACCAGAGGCGAAGGCGGCUACCUGGACAAUUGCUGACGCUCAGGCACGAAAGCGUGGGGAGCAAAAGGG